ensembl:lncRNA
AUUGCUGCUGCCCGACAGCAGGGCCUCGCGGGGAACGUGUGUGUCUGGUGGUGGGGCUGGGGAAUGCUUCUGAGUAUCGCACAGAAAGGCCUGCGUUACGGUUGGAAAUGCGAUAUUCUUCCGGUUUGCUUCCACUCUUGUUUUGUGUCACUGAGGUACCUGGGUCUGUUCAGCCUGGGGAAAAGAAGCCUGAGGAGGGAACUGAUGAAUGUAUAUAAAUAUCUAAAGGGAGAUGGGAGGCAAAUGGAUGAGGGCAGGCUCUUCUCAGGGGUGCGUAGCGAGAGGACAAGGAGCAGCGGUCUCAAACUUGAACGUAGGUGUAGCAGAAAUGCUAUGUCACAGCUUGGAACAGUGAUUGAGCACCGGGUGGGAAGGCAGGGCCAACCCAGGAGAGCUCAGGUGCAUGCAACGUACCUGAGUGACUGGAAGGGCUGGAGCCAAGAUGCAACCCUUCCCAGACCUCAUGUAAGGGUUGGCAGUGGAGGCAAGGAUACCUCAUCUGGAGAUCCCUGCACACCUGAGACCUUCUGAAGCAUGGCCUGCUGUGAAAGACAGAGAGCCUGCGUGAGCAGGCCUGGCAUCAUCUGCAAGGAUAGCGCCCAUGUCGAAACCAGGUAGAACUCUCUGGAGUUUUCCUGAAUCUACUCCUAGAUCACCUGGGGUAUUCUUCUCCUGCUUAGGAGCCUCUCUGAUUCACUAUCUGGCUAUUACACAGAGCUCAAGGAUUGAAGCCUUCAGUACGAUCCCAGGAUAAUAUAAGAUCCACACAGAAUCAUUUAUCUGAAGUGACGUGUCUGAUGCACUGGUGGAAGUUUUCCUAAGAGAUUUCUAAAUGUCCUGGUGGCUGACGGUAAAGACACCAAGGACUCAGAGUCAUGGGUUUCUCUUUAUUACAAGCCCUAAAACACCCAGCAGAAAGACAAAGCUGAGUGAAUUAAUGUUUUCUGACAACUAAGAUACUGUAUUGUCCCACCAAAGUCCUUUCAAAGACCCCUUUAAGAACAGAGUAGUUUGGGGGCUGAAAGGAUCCUAGUUCUGAAACUGGUCUUUAUCUUCUGUUGCUAUCGAAAUGUUUUGUGCUUUAAAUAUGCACUUGCUAUUUCUUAGUUUUAGACUCUCCUAAUACCAAAUUAGCCUUCUGAGCAGAGGUCAGCAGUGCAGGAGUGCAGGUCUUACUGGUUCAGAGGAACACAAAAUCACACAGGCUAAUGCUGAAGUCUUUGUCAACAGCUUCCUGAAUAUCUAGAGACUGAUCAGACAUGAGCUGUCUAUACAGCCAGAUAAUGCUGUUAUUAGAGACACAUUAGUGUGAGGGUUUUUUUUUUUUUUUUUUUUUAAUAUACAUGGCUAAUAGAUACAUUAAUCUCAUAGCUUUCACUGCAAAAGUCUUGGACCAGUGCUUCUGAUUAAUUAUUAAUACUCGUCUUCCUCUUCUAUUUUUCAGUGUAUUUACUUCUUAGCCUCGACUCUCUGUGGUUUUUGGGGGGGGUUUGUUUUUUUGGCUGUUUUUUUUCUUUUCCUCCAGAUGAUUACAUAUAGCAAAGCUUGGAUAACUACAUGAGCAUUCACUGCAUUCUUACUUGCCAAUGUCCUUAAUAAUGAUGAAAUGAUAACUAAACAACAACCAAUAUUUUGGAUUUGGGGAGCUGCAGAUACCUGGAGAAAGCACUUUGCGUUAACAGUUGAUGCACUGUUGGUAUAUUGACAAAAAUGG